CCCGCCCCCGCCCCGCGCUUGGGCCGCGAAGGAUUCAGCGUCUGGUCCGGAAACGCCGCAGCCGCCCGGGGCGGACUCGCCGGCGCCACCCUUACACCUGCUCGGCUAGGCCUGAGAAGGUGGCCCCAGGCAGGAGCCGACCAGCCUGAACCCUGCUUCCCCAGAUGUGAAGUGGAGAUAGUAAUACCUGCUCGGAUGACCCCAGCGCACCACUGCAGGACUGUUCAAUGACAAAGGACUGGUAAACUACAAAUUUAGUUCAAUUCCCUGGGAUCUGAAAAAUGAAAUCAAACAUUUAUUUUGUUCCAGAACAUAAAAUUGAUGCAUGUUCACAAAAUGCAAAAUAAAAAAGAGAAAAUAAAACCGUGC
rnacentral:lncRNA from 1 species